GUUAAAGCACAGGUGGGAGACGAAUCCUGGGCAGAGUUUGCCCUGGUUAGGGGCUUUGGCCUAGGUGUCCACAUCCCCCCUGCAGCCCAGACCGGUGGAUCCCCUCCUGGGUCACCUCUGGGGCUGGGAGGGGGCUUUAGAAGGCAAGAGGAGGCGAGACAGAGGGUGCAAGUGUUGGGGGCUGGGGUAAGAGGCACUGAUUGAAUAGCAAUGACUGCAUGAUUUAUGGUGUGCAUUAUGGCAGGGCUCAUUUGAAUAUAUGCUAAUCAGCCUUUUUUUCCCCUCCUCGUUUUGUUUGUGAGAUUUAGAUUUGCUAUGGCAACCCGCUGGCAUGGAAGGGGAGAGCCAGGAAAUGUCAGGGUGAGGUAGGCUCGACCGGACGGCACUGGGGGACACCGGCACACCGGGCAAGGCGGAGGUAACCGCGGCUUCCCAUCCCCCUCUCCAACCUCUUUUCCAAAGACACGCGGCCGGUUCUACCGGGGCAGGUGCGGGACUCGCAGUUAGUGGCGUUACCGGUAACAGAGGGAAGUUAGCUGGCACACGGCGGCAUCCCCCGUUACGAUGGGGAAAGGGAGGCCGACGGCUGGCCGGGCUCCGGUUCUCCGAUAGGAAGCGGGGCCGCCGCGCCGCUCGGAGCCGAGCCCAGCCGCUCUGCUUCCCGCCGAGGCGGCCGGUGGCUCCUGCAGCGAGCGCCGUGCUCGUACCGGAGCCCAACAUGGCUGCUGCAGUGAAGGUAUUUGAUUCACACGAGGGGAAGAACGGGGGCACGAGAGGCCCCGGGGCCGGUGCCAGCACCCGCAGCCACCGGGACGAGGGGCACAGGCGGGCGACGGUUCGGUAAGUGCCAGGGAGGAACAGAGCCAGGCGGCCCCCGUAGAUCUUUCUCCGCGGACACG